rnacentral:ncRNA from 1 species
CGGCGAUUUCUUAGUAGAAGCAGAAUUCAGCAAGCAUUGUAUUGUUCACCCACUAAUAGGGAACGUGAGUUGGGUUUAGACCGCCGUGAGACCGGUU